UACGUAGGGUGCGAGCGUUGUCCGGAAUUAUUGGGCGUAAAGAGCUUGUAGGCGGUCUGUCGCGUCUGCUGUGAAAAUCCGGGGCUCAACCCCGGACUUGCAGUGGGUACGGGCAGACUAGAGUGUGGUAGGGGAGACUGGAAUUCCUGGUGUAGCGGUGAAAUGCGCAGAUAUCAGGAGGAACACCGAUGGCGAAGGCAGGUCUCUGGGCCUGUACUGACGCUGAGGAGCGAAAGCGUGGGGAGCGAACAGG
rnacentral:rRNA from 1 species